rnacentral:rRNA from 1 species
AGAGCGGCGAAGGGGUGAUUACCCCGUAGGGAACCUGCCUCAGGGUUGGGAAUACCUCCAAAAAAUCGAAGCUAAUACCGGAUAUUUCAACGGACCGCAGGGCCCGUUGAUGAAGGGCGCUCCGGCGCCCCCUUGAAAGGGCUUUGGGGGGCUUUAGCUAGUGGGGGGGGUAACGGCCCCCCAGGGCGACAAUGCAUACCCAACCUGAGAGGGGGAUCGCCCCCCCUGGGACUGAAACCCGCCCCAAACUCCUACGGGAGGCACCAGUAGGAAAUCUUCCACAAGGAACAAAAUUCUGAUGGACCACCCCCGCGUGAGUGAUAAAGGUUUUCGAAUCGAAAAACUCUGUUGAAAGGAAAAAACACUUACAAAAGGUAAUGCUCGUACUUUGACGGUCCCUUACAAAAAAGCCACGGUUAAUUACUUGCCACCACCCGCGGUAAUACGUAGGUGGCAAGCUUUGU